UAGGGAAUCUUCGGCAAUGGACGAAAGCCUGAUGGAGCAACCCCGCGUGAGUGAAGAAGGGUUUCGGCUCGUAAAGCUCUGUUGUUAAAGAAGAACACGUAUGAGAGUAACUGUUCAUACGUUGACGGUAUUUAACCAGAAAGUCACGGCUAACUACGUGCCAG
rnacentral:rRNA from 1 species